AUGGCUAUAGCUGCUAGUCAGUGGAUGAAUACCCAGUUUUUUUUUAAAAAUUUCUCUACUUAUGUUAUUAUGUUAUAUUUUGCCCUUUAUCUAUGUGUAUAUUUGUGCACCAUGUGUGUGCCUGAUGCCCUUGGAGGCUAGCAGAGAUGUUGGUUCCUGUCAUGGUUUGAAUAUGCUUGGCCCAGGGAAUGGCACUAUUUGGAGGUGUGGCCUGUUGGAGUAGGUGUAUCACUGUGGGUGUGGGCUUUAAGAUCCUCACCCUAGCUACCUGGAAGUCAGUCUUCCACUAGUAGCCUUUAGAUGAAGAUGUAGAACUCUCAGCUCUUCCUCUACCGUGUCUGCCUGGAUGCUGCCAUGUUAACCUUGAUGACACUGGACUGAAUCUCUGAACCUGUAAGCCAGCCCCAGUUAAAUGUUGUCCUUUAUAAGACUUGCCUUGGUCAUGGUAUCUGUUCAUAGCAGUAAACCCUAACUAAGAUCUCUUGGAAUUGGAAUUACAAACAGUUGUGAGCUGCCAUGUGGGUUCUGGGAAUCCAUUCGGGUUCUCUGGAAGAGCAGCCAGUGCUCUUAAUGCCUGAACCUUCUCUCCAGCCACCAUGUCCAGUUCUGAUGUAGGUUCUGGGGGUCCAAACUCAGAUCCCAUGCUUUCUCUUUAAGCACAGAACCAUCUCCACAGUCCCCUCCCCCACAUUUAACUUGCCUUGGAUCUAUGUUCUUGUCGUUGCUUAUAAAUCUGCCUUGUUCUUAGCUAACAGACAUUUGGAUUGUUUCUGUUUUGUUUUAUUGCACAUGUGGUACGAACAGGCUUUGAGCAUUGUAAGAGCACUUCAAGGAAUAUCUCCACUGAAAGGAAAUCCCUCAGGGUGGAAUUGCUGUAUUCAAGAGUAGGGACAUUCUACAGUUUUGACGAGCUUUUAAAUUUCCCUAUUCAAACAUACCAAUACUCUUUUUUUUUUUCCUGAGGGACAGGGGCUGUGGAGCCAAGGAGGUAGGGUAAGGUAGAAGGAGGAGGGAGCCGACGUGAGAGGGGAAAGACGAGGCUUUGAUUAAUAUUCAGUUGUCACUCUACUGAAAUUAUUAAUUUGUGAAUAGAUGGUUCUGGAGUCUUUUAUCUCUUCAUUUCUACCCACCCCUGGCACCCCAAAAUUAUGGAGCUCAUCCUGUCCUGGAGGCUAAAACAGACAGAAAUGAAUUUGAGGAUGAAGGUGAUGACCAUUGAUAUACUUGGCCUGGGUCACAGGGAAUAGAACUGGGCGUCUCCUGGGAAGCCUGGCUUCUGAAGGACAGGGCUGACCUCACUGUGCACUCAUAGUAUCUGAGGACCAGGGAGCAGCUUGACUGGGUUGCUGGCAGGAACAUUUAGUGACUCCCCUAGAGUGGCUCAUUUUGGAACUUCACUAGUUCUAGAGUGCGGUUCCCCAGACCAGGAGCAGCCACCACCAUGGGAAAUGGUUGUUCUUGGCCUGCCUCUGGGUCUGCAGAAUCCAGAGGGGACACAGCAGAGUUGAUUUCCAGGAAAGCAUCUGUAUUCUGCCCUUUCUGGGGGGCAGAAGUGACUUAGGGACAGCACCUCCCCUCCUGUUCCAGUGAGAGAGGGCCCUUGUGGGUGUGCCAAGGUCUCCCAGGAGGUCAGCUUGCUUUUUCUCUUCUCCAUCAUGGAUGUAAUCUAUUGGGCUAAUAAAAUGCCACAGAGGCCUCAUUCUGUAGGUCCCCUGGUGGAUUCAAGAUAGAGUCUCUAAUAAGCACUUCCCACAUAUGGGGAUAAGGGAGAGCUAUGCAAAGAAGAAUAACCUAACGGACUUAGUAAUGGUGUGAGCCCUGCUUUGGAGGAGAUAAAAACCACUGUGUUCGCUAAUAGCUUUACCAUCAUAUUUUAGAGUCCAGGAAGUUACACAUAUCAAAGGUAAAUAUCUUUGUCAGGAAAGGGGCCUCUUGGGAUGCAGAGAAUAUGAGGAUAUUAGAAUUGAAAAGGGCAGCUUGAGAUGGUAAUAAAGUCGUGUCUCAUCGAGGAAUAAUAUUGAAAAAUGCUAACACAAAUGAUUGAAACUCUCCGCGGAGUUAGCACGUUAGCUCAGUAGAAUGGGCCGCAGAGACACUGUGCAGAACGGAAUUCCAGAGGUGUUCCGGGCAUGACGGAUGAACCAGGUCUUCAUGUUUCCAGCCCCUAGAGUGGGCAGACGCCACUGGAGCGUGACGCUGGAGUAUAGAGAAACUGACCCUCUGUUCAAAGUGGGCAGAGACCUUUCAUUGUGCUCUGAGAUGGGGGCACAGGCUGAGGGUAAAUGUGGGAUGGUCAACCUUCCCCACCAUAAGAGUAAGGGGAACCCCAAACCUCAUGUAGAAGAAGCCCGAGGCUAAUGGCAGGGUGAACAUUUUUGCUUCUAUAUUUCCAUGCUAUGUGGAGGGGCAGGGGUGAGAUUUCCCCUCCCCACCACCCACGUUUCUCUUAACUCUACUAAUACUAAUGAGCCACCCUGUGCUGGGCCUCCCUCCUGGAGGUGGGGAGGUGGAAAUUUGGACAGACAGCAAGAGAGCUAGAGAACAGGCAUCCUUUCCACUUCUCUGAGGUCCCCACUAGAGGUUCCUGCGUGUGGGGACGGGGUCAUGAAGAUGGCACCUUUGCCAGGCGCGCGCUCUCUCUGCAUCCUAUUUUAUCAUUUUCUUGGUAGCAUCUUCCCAUAAAAGGAACCUCUGAGUUGCCCUGAGGCCAACUGGCUACAGCUACAUCUGUGCCCACUGGAGAUACGUUGAGGGCAAGGAUGCGAGCAUGCACUGGUGAAAGUCUGAUUCACAGAAUUUUCCCUAAGCUGCAGGCGAGAAAAAAAUAAAGAUGGGUUCAAGGUGUUGUAGCAGAUGACAAAGGCUGGACAGAACACAAUUGCUUUCCCAAGUGCCUGACAUCAGGCAGGCAACAAAAAAACCGACUUUGGUAUGAGCAGCCUGGAGCUGCUGGGAGCUACUUGCUUGUGAAGCCAGUCCAGGGCCUUUCUUGUUCGCCUUGGAGGCAUUUGCAAUGAGAGGGGACAUGAUAUUGUCAGAAAGGUUUGCAAAUAACGCCGUGUGACAGUCUUUAAUAUUUGUGGGCAUCUUGACCUUGUAAGAUUGAAAAGACAGCCUUAAUGAAGCAAUCUUCUUGAGAUACACUGCUUCACGCCCCCACCCCGCAUCAAGUGACCUUUUCUUGGGAGAACAGGCUUCUUGUGCUAGCGGCUUUUCCUCCUUCUGGGCUCAUUCUUUCUGAUAGGAUUAACAGGUCCCUAGCCUCUUGCCUCUGAUGCUGUGAUUGGAGGCUGCAGUUGGUGAGCAGAAAACAACUUGCAAGAUGAAUUCCUAACUCGGGUCCUGCAGUGAUCUCGAUAGCAAGGAAGAGAUACAAGGCGGGAAAACACGGGCACCCGUGGUACACGUAGAAGCUGUUGAAACACAAGUGGUUUGCGGAGCUGUAGCUUGCCUCUCUGGAUCUGGGCAGACGCCCUUCUCUUCUCUAGCCAGUGCCUGUAAAUCCUGAAGCCCUUUCCGGCUGCAUUCCCGCAACCUGCCAGAAGGAACUGCAGCGCGGAUUGUGGAGAUGUAAUGGAGUCCUUUCCUCCCCUGGCUCUGACAUUUGUAUUCUCCUCUGUAAAAUAAUCUGGGUCAAAAACAUAGGCACAGCCUUGCUCUACCCACAUCACUUAACAAUGCCACGGUCCUGUUUCCUUUUUUUAGAAGUGAUUUUUUAAAAAAGAGAAUUAAUUCAGGGAAAUAUGUUAGUAUUGGCAGGAGCACGUGUUAGGUGGAAAAGCAAGGCACAGUGACCCUGGUGAGUGGGGCUUGAUACUUUACAAAUUAGGGUUCCUUCCCGUGGCUUCCUGUUGAGAGUUAGUGUAUCCUAGAGUCUUUAGGAAAGAACCCGCCCCCUUCCCCCCAAUAGCAGUUGAAGUGUCUCAAGGGCACCAUGUGUUUGAUACUCUGUUAUUCUUGUCUUUGCACUGGGGACCAGAGAGUCUGAGAUCAAAGGCCAGGGGCUUCUCAGACCCUUUUUGCCUUACUGAGGGUGGAGAAGGGUGAGGGAUGGGUGGGUAAGAGGUGGAUUCUGCUCUUAUGUCGAUGGCUUUUCCCCAUAAUACAGGCUUCUGUUUCUGUCUUUUCAAAUCUUUUCCCCAUUACUUUCUUGAGUUGAUAAAUCAUUACAUUUCUUGUUCUUUCUGGAAGGGUCCCCUCCCCCCAUCUAUAUUGGGGGAUUUCUGGAAAAAUAAUGAAUAGCCUAAGAGAUGAGAUCGAGUUAAUUGCCAAACAAUACAGCUAAUAUUAAGCAUUUUUAUUUCUUAGAUUAAAAUGUUUAUUGCAAGCAGUGUAUUAUGUAGAAUAUUUGGAAAUGUCUGGAGUGUGCAGACCCCCGGAUGCCUUGAUCUUUCAUUUUUUUAUUGAGUAAUUGGAAAUAAAAGAAUCUCAUUUGAUGCAUUUUGAGUUUUCAAAGAAAGAUAAUGUUCUAAAGCCAUAACCUCAAAGAACUAAGCAGUCUCUCAACUGGAGCCCAUUAUUUGAAUCUGUACUUUUAAUAGAAACAUUUAACUCAGAACUCAUUGAUCUGGAAUUUCAGCCCACUUGCUUUAAACUGCACAAUUGGUUUUUCCUAACACAUCUGUUGAAAUGUAUUGAACAUUCACUACAACCUGUCAUUAGGGAGACGUUGAAAGGCCCAGCCACGAAGCUUUUGCUAAGUCGGUUGCCUGGGGAAGUUCUGUGCUUAGCUGCUGCCCUCUGAGGAGGAGCAGGGCUACUUAACCUGAGACUGCAGAGGGGUCAGGUGAGGACCUGGCCAUUUGAUUUCUGCUUUGCUAACCGGGCCAAGCUGCUUUCAGGGCUUUGCUGGUGCUUAAGUGUUAGCUUUCCCCAGUUUCUGCAUCCUAGCUUCUCCCAGUGCCUGCUCUGAGCUCCCAUGCUUCACCGUCCUCUGUCUGUGAUGGGCAGAGACUGAGUGGGAACCACUUUCACGGCCGUCACUGUCUUCAGCGUCAUCUACAUUUCACGAUUUGUCAGGUGUCAUACUUAAACUAGCUUUUAAGCUUUCAAAAGCAAAUAAUACUCCAUAAAAGCAAGUCCUGGGUGGGGGGAGGGAGACACGUGGAUUUAGAAAUGGUGUGCCAUGAAAACCUGUACAGCUAUUGUCAGCAGAGUGACUCUUGGCUCAGAGCAUCCUAUUUGAACCCAGAAGACCACCCAUUUCCCAUCUGAUAACAUACUCAUGUUUUUUUAAAGAUUUAUUUUGUUUUAUGUACAUGAGUAUACUGUAGCUGUACAGAUGGUUGUGAGCCUUCAUGUGGUUGCUGGGAAUUGAAUUUUAGGACCUCUGCUCGCUCUGGUCAAUCCCACUCGCUCCAGCCCAAAGAUUUAUUAUUAUUAUUAUUAUUAUUAUUAUUAUAAAUAAGUACACUGUAGUUGAUUUCAGAUGUACCAGAAGAGGGUGGCAGAUCUCCUAAUGAGUGGUUGUGAGCCACCAUGUGGUUUGCUGUGAUUUGAACUCAGGACUUUUGGAAGAGCUCUUACCUGCUGAGCCAUCUCGCCAACCCAAACAUACUCACUAUAUGGAUGCGCUUGCACCAACAGCUAGGAGUGGGCAGAGGACCUGAACAUGUUGAUAGGAAUUUCCUCCAUGGACUCAAAAUCAGGCAGUGGCUUACAGGAGGAUAAUACCCAACUGCCAUUUAUGCCAGUGGCUUUAUCUGCAUGAGGCUGAGGCAGUCUCUUGGCCCCUCCACCUGGAGUAGACUUCUUGACUCUUAUCUUCAUGAGCUUGACUUUUCUGGCGACCUUCUUUGCCUGGUGAGUGGACCCCUCCCCAUAGCCCCUUAACAGAAUCUAUUUCUAUCUGCCAAUCAAACCCAGUUCUGACUGAUAUACUCUUGACAGGGUUUCUGGGAGACACAAGCUGGUGGGAUGAUUCUCAAUGGAAGACAAUAAACAUUUACAUUUUUAAUUAUAUAUUUACCAUAAGGCACACUGAGAAAAACUAUAAACAUGGUAUUACUGCUUAGAAUAACUGAAAAAUCCAUGGGCUUAAGUUUAAAAAUGUUGUUUUGAAGGAACUCAUUCAUGAAGUGAUGGUGUGGAUAUCUGUGGCUGUAGGGAGAAAUGCAAAUGGGAUGGAUCAAAGUCACUGGCCACUACCACAACUACAUGGGAAAGAAAACUCUAGAUUUGGACUUAGGGAAGUUCUCUAUACUGUCAGGGCCAGGGAUGUUAGAGUUAAGAGAGGCUGGAAGCAGCCAAAACUGGGGAAACCCUUCUGCCAUGGCUUGGGGGAAAGCCCAGGGUUUAGAGUUGAUCUGGGUUGAACUUCUCUGAGAUCUCCAGAUGACCCUUCACACAUCCUUUUGUAUAGCAUUGAGAAUCUGGUCCAGGACCAUGUAUGUUGAAUCUCAGUGGUCAAAUUCACAGUAUCUGGAAUCAGCUAAGAGACAUGUCUAUGGGCACAUACCAGGAGGUAUCGUCUUGAUUAGGUUAAUUGAAGUAGGAAGUCUCAAUGUGCGUGGCACCUUCUGGUGGCAGGUAGACAAAAGGGGGUCCAAGGAAAAAUCUUAUCACUUCAGCCUGGUUGCCUCCCAUCUUGCUGGGCAGUCCAGUUAUCCUGCUUGUGACUUCCUCAGUUCUGUUGCUGUGACUGCCACUACCACUGAACUCCUUCCCUGGUAACAACUCAGCUCUGUGGGUUUCCAACCUGGUCUCUCCAGGAAUCCUUCAGGUCUCGGCACCAGAGAGAGGACUACGGAGACACUUGGCCUCGUGGAAGCAGGUGUGCAGCCUCGUCAGAAUAACGAUACCUGUUCUGGACGACAGAAGUAUCAGUCAAGCCAGAAUCUAUUUUAACAGUAGGCUCCUGCUCGCUGCCUUGAAAAAGUAUCCCGGCAGACGACAGUGCCAUGACGGCGAGCAUCCAAGAACACCACAGGAAAGACACAGCUGCGUCCAAAGAGCACAUUCCAAGCUUAUAAAGGCCUGAAACUGGAAAUUUCCUUCCGCUCCCAGAGCCGUCUCCUGAGCAAACAUUGUAAGUAGUCUCUGUCCUAAACUUGCCCAACAUUUGCCAUCAUAAAUUGAUGUAUGUCUGUGCCUCUACUUCUUGAUUUAUGAGCCUUAAUGGAAACUUUUAAUUUCUCUCAACCAAGAAGGAAGACUCAGAGGACAAUGGGCAUGUAUAUGAAGAAAGUUCGGGAUAAAUGUGUGUGCACGUGUGUGCGUGCGUGUGUGUGUGUGUGUGUGCGUGUGUGUGUGUGUGUGUGAGAGAGAGAGAGAGAGAGAGAGAGAGAGAGAGGCUCAAGGUACAGCUCAUUGAAUUUGUUCUUAGCUUAAAUAAAAACUAAAUAAAAGUACACUUUAGUGCUGAGUACCACUGCUUGUGGCUUGUUACUUUGCCUAUAUCUUUUAGAGGCUGUCAUCUGAGACGGUUCAUACAGAGUUCUCUCUCCCCUUCCCUUUCCCUUCCUCCCCACUCCCCUUCCCAGUCUCCGCCCCCCCCCCCACCUUAGUUCAUGUCUGUCAUAUUCAAAACAACUCGUUUUACCAAAGAUUGUUUCACUCUCAGUUCAAACAGAGACCUCCAUCCUGUCUUCACUCCGAAUGCGAAAACCUGUCGACAGCCUUCGUAAAAAGACUGUUAGGUAAUUAUCAUCCCCUUGAGCCGGCUAUGAGCUGAAGCAUAUAGCAGAAGAUUCAACCAUUUAGAAAACAAUCCCAAUCAACCUUUCAGGGCUGGGUGUGGCUCACUUGCCUAUGUGCAUGGAGCUCAGAGUUAAGUUCCUAUCGCUGAGAAACAUGAAGUAAAAGAAGCAAGACAAAAACCAAAACCAAAACAAACAAAAAUACCAUCAAGAAUUAAACCAGGACAACCAUCUCUGCUACUGAGGGAGACCUUCCCCUAAUUCUCAGCACCAGGGAAUUUUCCCCUUAAACUUUCCAUCACUUCUGUAAGCUAGUGUUCAAUGGAACGGUAC
rnacentral:lncRNA from 1 species